AACGGGUGAGUAAUACGUGAGCAAUGUGCCCUUGACUCUGGGAUAAGCGCUGGAAACGGCGUCUAAUACCGGAUACGACGAUCGGAGGCAUCUCCUGGUCGUGGAAAGAACUUCGGUCAAGGAUCAGCUCACGGCCUAUCAGUUAGUUGGUGAGGUAAUGGCUCACCAAGACGACGACGGGUAGCCGGCCUGAGAGGGUGACCGGCCACACUGGGACUGAGACACGGCCCAGACUCCUACGGGAGGCAGCAGUGGGGAAUAUUGCACAAUGGGCGCAAGCCUGAUGCAGCAACGCCGCGUGAGGGACGAAGGCCUUCGGGUUGUAAACCUCUUUUAGCAGGGAAGAAGCGAAAGUGACGGUACCUGCAGAAAAAGCACCGGCUAACUACGUGCCAGCAGCCGCGGUAAUACGUAGGGUGCAAGCGUUGUCCGGAAUUAUUGGGCGUAAAGAGCUCGUAGGCGGUUUGUCACGUCUGCUGUGAAAACCCGAGGCUCAACCUCGGGCUUGCAGUGGGUACGGGCAGACUAGAGU
rnacentral:rRNA from 1 species